rnacentral:misc_RNA from 1 species
GUGAAUUUGGUGAUGUCGCCGGAGAAUACCGUCGGAGAAUUGAUAAGGGCGGCGAUUGAGAUUUACGUCAAGGAGAAACGGCGGCCGUUGUUGAGUCGUAGUGAUCCGCUUUGUUAUGAACUUCAUUAUUCUCAAUUUAGUAUGGAGAGUUUGAGGAAAGAGGAGAAAUUGGUGAAUUUGGGAUGUCGAAGUUUCUUCGUUUGUCCAAAACCAAGCACUUAACAUCAAAGAUAUUUCACUUCCAUCUACAAAGCUCAUGGAUUUCAUUCUAUAGCUUUUUAUCCACAUUUUAAACUAGUUGUUU